CUGGCAGAGUGGUCGGAAGACGUACCUUCCUGUCGUGCACAGACCGAUCAUUAACACAGAUCAGAUAUGUCAGUGUGGCCACUGGACGGUGGUCCAAGGGGAAAUGGCUUUUCUAAUCAGUCGAUCCACAAGAGGAAAUCAACAGGACUUUUUACAGGAUGAAACUACAAAUGUGGCUUCAGCGGUUCACAGCAACUAAAGAUCAAUGCUCAGAUAUACAUUCCAAUGCAUAGAAUACAUUAUUUUACUCUGCAAAAUUUGAAGGGUAUUUCAAUUUCUACCAAUUCUACCUUAGAAAUUUUCCAGGACAGUUGGGGCAUAAACUAUGGUCCGAGUAUCUUCGUUAUGGUUGUAUUUUACAUGUUUUGUGCUCAAAUAUACUGACUGCAAUUUGAAUGAGUAUGUGUAUAACAAAUUGAGGUAUACAUUAUACAGUCUUGUUUAAAGUCCUGCUUCAACACGUGUAUAACACCAUCACAGUUGACGUUCCGUGAAGUUCAUGGACAAUGACUGUAGUUUAUAUAGAUUCGCGUUCAGUGUGAUAGAAAACAUUCACUGUAGUGCACUAUUCUUUUGUAACCCAAUUUUAUUUUACCUGUGUGGGGUACUCCCUUGUAGCCAUACUCUCACCAAAAAGAAACGCAUAAGUGUUUUGUUGUUAAAUAUAAUAUCCUAGUUUUAAUGUGUAAAUCUCGAUAAAUUGCCCCCAGAUUUCACAGUAUAGAAGAUCAAAUGACUGUUAACAGGUGUAUCUUAUAAAACGCUCAAUAAAUGAAGGCGCCCGUU